rnacentral:rRNA from 1 species
AGCCAUCCAUUUCCCAGCAUAAGCAAUAAACAGCGAAUGGCUCUUCAAAACAGUUAUAGUUAAGUCGGCGG